rnacentral:lncRNA from 1 species
UUUUUUUAAAAAAAAAUCCUUCAAAAGGAAAACUACUCUUCUUCUUUCUAUAUUUUUUUCUUCCAAACAUUGUGACGGGAUCUCUUGAUUUUUCUAUUCUUCCAACGGAUGUUGAGACCUAGCUCAGCAAUUGUUCGUUUAGAGAAUUCCCAUGGGUAAGUGCUAUAAAUUGAGUGUUAUUGAUGACAUGUACCAGCUUCAAUUUAGUCAUUUAUUAAAAUAUUGCUCUUUAGAUGUUCUCACACAAGUGUCUCUUUGAAUUCAGGGGUUAAUCGAAUUGUUAAUUUGACAGAAUCAACUAUUGCUUGUGGGAACGAUGAAGGAUGCAUUAAAGCGAAGUUGGUUUAUUAUUUUUUUUCUUGACCAGAGAAGGAUAAGUUAAUUAGAGAAUAUGAAGAUAUAAAUCCAUUUUCUUCAAAUUUAGAUUUUGCAAGUUAAUAGUGAAAUAGUCAACAUUCUAUCAUUCAAAUUGUACGGUGCUUGAUACUUUUUUUUUUUUCUCAUUACACUAUUUUAGAUUGCUUCAUUUACUAUUUUAGAAAAUAGAAAUAAUUUUGAGGUGCGCACAAUACAAAGGUUGAACAGACACCACCAUUAUUACUUUUGUAAAAAGGAAGUAGCAAAAGUUGGUCUGCCUUGUGCAUUUUCUGGAUUUCAUCUUCAUAAUUUAUUAUGCUUUUGCCAGCAACUCUUGGUGCAUGGAACCAUAAAAUUUCUUAUUCUGUGAACGAGAUUUUUUAGGAAGUAGCAAAAACUAGAAGUGUUUAAGGCUUCAAGCCUCUGUGCCUUAUAUCUUAAAAGUAUAGUGCAUUUGUAAAUAUAUCCUUCAUGUUUUUCAUAAAAAAAAUUGCCCCUUCAUGUACAUGGACUGUUGUUCACUCUUGCUUUUUAUAGUUUAGUAGGUUUCAAGGUUCCAAAUCAGAAAAAAUAAUAAAAUUAUUAAUUUUUAAAUAUAAAAAUAGUGAAAAAUGAUUUUGUGU